AGUAGCCAGCAGUCUAAGUAUAGCAAUUAUCCCGCGAAACUGCGAAUGGCUCAUUAAAUCAGUUAUCGUUUAUUUGAUAGUACCUUACUACUUGGAUAACCGUGGUAAUUCUAGUAGCUAAUACAUGCUAAAAACCCCCAACUUCACGAAGGGGUGUAUUUAUUAGAUUAAAAACCAAUGCCCUUCGGGGCUCUUUGGUGAUUCAUAAUAACUUCUCGGAAUCGCAUGGCCUUGUGCCGGCGAUGGUUCAUUCAAAUUUCUGCCCUAUCAACUUUCGAUGGCAGGGUCUUGGCCUGCCAUGGUUACAACGGGUAACGGAGGGUUAGGGCUCGACCCCGGAGAAGGAGCCUGAGAAACGGCUACUACAUCCAAGGAAGGCAGCAGGCGCGCAAAUUACCCAAUCCCGAUUCGGGGAGGUAGUGACAAUAAAUACUGAUACAGGGCUCUUUUGGGUCUUGUAAUUGGAAUGAGUACAAUUUAAAUCCCUUAACGAGGAACAAUUGGAGGGCAAGUCUGGUGCCAGCAGCCGCGGUAAUUCCAGCUCCAAUAGCGUAUAUUAAAGUUGUUGCAGUUAAAAAGCUCGUAGUUGAACCUUGGGCCUGGCUGGCCGGUCCGCCUCACCGCGUGCACUGGUUCGGCCGGGCCUUUCCCUCUGGGGAUCCCCAUGCCCUUUACUGGGUGUGGUGGGGAACCAGGACUUUUACUGUGAAAAAAUUAGAGUGUUCAAAGCAGGCCUAUGCUCGAAUACAUUAGCAUGGAAUAAUAGAAUAGGACGUGUGGUUCUAUUUUGUUGGUUUCUAGGACCGCCGUAAUGAUUAAUAGGGACAGUCGGGGGCAUCAGUAUUCAAUUGUCAGAGGUGAAAUUCUUGGAUUUAUUGAAGACUAACUACUGCGAAAGCAUUUGCCAAGGAUGUUUUCAUUAAUCAGGAACGAAAGUUAGGGGAUCGAAAACGAUCAGAUACCGUUGUAGUCUUAACCAUAAACUAUGCCGACUAGGGAUCGGACGAUGUUAUUUUUUGACUCGUUCGGCACCUUACGAGAAAUCAAAGUCUUUGGG
rnacentral:rRNA from 1 species